UACGUGAAACCGUUCAGGGGUAAACGGGAGAAAUCCUGAAUUCGAAAGGGAUUGGAUUCAGUUUGUCCGGCCGAGGCCGCCACGCCCCGCCAGAUGUCGUCGGUCGCCCGCGGCGAUUAACCUCGCACGCGGUGUCGUUACCGACAGCCACUCGGCGCACGGGUUGGUUUUGUGUCUCGCUCGCUGGAGGAGUGCACUUCCUCCCUUGUAGAAACGUCGCGACCCGUUGGGUGCCGGUCACAAGGCCCGGGAUGGCAGACCGCGUGUCCCGCCGCACGUUUGUUGCGGUGGGUUCGCGGACUCCUGGUGACCCGGCCGGCUGCUCGACGGUAUGACCAGAGGAGUCGAUCCGCUGCAAUUGGGAAACACUAUGGCAUGUGUAGCGUCCGGCCCGGUGCCGACGCGCGCGGGUUCCGUUGGGAGCAAUUCCGUUGGGCUGAUUGGUGUUGGUGCACGGCCCCGGGCCCGUUUGCGUCGUCGGUUUCUAGCCGGUGUCCUCGGACUGGAUCAGCACUCCCGUCGGCGGCGCCACCUUCGGAUGG
rnacentral:rRNA from 1 species